GCCAACAAGCCGGCAUUCUCUGGUCUUGGAUCUGAAUCCCCCAAAAGAGAAAAAGAAGCAAGAAAAAGACUGCUCAUGACCAAUCCAUAAACAUCCAUUUUGAAAGGUGGAAGAGUAACGCUGAAAUGGACGCCGUUCUCAGGGACUGGUAAAGUUAGGGAGAUACUGGUGGAGACCGUUUGCUUUAGAGUGAACCUGAGGCUGUACAAGUUGUGGUUGUCCAAACCCCGACAUUGAAAGAGAGGUCAGGGUCUGACGAGGAAGCAUGUAUUCAUCUCACGCUGGUCUCUUCGUUACGACGAACGUGACAGUAGUCCAACAUCUUCCCGGACAGAGGAGAAAGGAUGAUGUUCCUGUUGCCAGCCAGCCAGGGACACCAGUAGUGAGAGUUUGUGGUGCAGACUUAGACUCUCUCCUCUCCACCUGGUAGGAGCGGCCUGCCUUGUUAGUGAUAGGGGAAAGUGUGAAGUCAAAAGAGGGAACGAAAGAAAAGGAAUCGAAGUCAGACGUUGUGAGAUUGAAGUCACCCAGUAAAAUGAGCUAAUCAAGGUGUCAAGUUGAUUGAGGAACUCUCCAGGGGCACCUGGCGGGCGAUAGAUGACAACGAUGUUAGGCUUGAAAAAAUAUGAAAAUAGCUUCA